AGAACUCCCUAUCUCUUGACUUCUCCUCCUCCUUUCGUCCUUUCCUCCUCUCAGUUUUCUUUGCUUCUCAAAUUAACCACAUCACUUUGCUAUUGGAUCUGUAGACCUUGAGUUGAUUUAUUCCUUGUUUGAGAACUCACCAGUGAUUUUGGGUUUUCAGGAAGAACGAUUAGUUGAAAUUUAGAAAGGUUUGAUCUUGAAUAUAUAGCGAUGUCGAUUGCUUUUUUCUUGGAUUUUCCUGUCAUCCGGUUUCCUUCUGUCGUCUCUAAUGGGCAUGUAAGAUCUUGUGCCGCUUAACGGUUGGAGUAAUGGCAUAUGCUCUUUCACCAGUUAGAAAUUUCGAGGAAACAUCAAAAACCAUCUUUUUCAUGCUUCAAAAAAAAAAAAGAAUUAUUGAAGGCAUCAUUCCUAGGUUGCAUAUUCUGUGAUUGUGGCGUGAGAAAGCUGUCAUACGAGUGAAUUCUGAUUUGGCUUUUCCUCCUGAGUCUAGUAACACCUUCAAAAGGUUCAGCUUUUUAAAUUUAGUUUAAUCAAUAGAUGAACAUAAUACAAGAAAUCUUUUACUUUGAACUAGAACUAAAGUGUAAAUCACUAUAAGU
rnacentral:lncRNA from 1 species